UUAAUUAAAGGUCUCUCACGAUAAAACAUUAAGAAAUUUUCAACAAUAAUUUAAUAAUAAUAAUAGUUAAGUUUUAUAAAUUAAAUUAUUUGAAUUUUAAAUUUUCACAUUAAAAUUUGACAUAAUUUAUUUUUAAAUGAAUUUUUACAUAACUAAAUUUUUAAAGCUAUCGAAUUUGUAUUUGACAGAAUUUAUAUUUUACUGUCAUUUUGUUACUCUCCAUUGUAACUCUCCAUAGUGUUCUUGGUUUUAAAAUAAAGGUGAAAUAAUGAAGAAUAUUUUACUUCUUAUUAAAAGAAACUCAAAAAUCGGUCCCGUUCGAGUAAAAACGAUUCAAAAAAAUUAUUAAACUUUUUUUGGGUUAAAAUUCAAAAACAAUUUUUCAACUAUGUAACACUUCGAAAAUGUAUAUUUUAAACAAUAACAUAUUAAAAUUGUAUCGAGAUUCGAUUAAUUGUUUCAGAAAUAUUUAUGUUUAAAAAAUAAUUGUCAAAAAAUUUAAUAUGGCGUAACUUUUACAAUUUUGAAAAUUUUUUAAAAUCAUUCGGGACUUUCAUUUCUUAUAUUCAAUACUACAAUUUCACAAAAUUACAGACGAAUCCAAAAACGCCUAGCAAAUCGUGAUAUUUCUGACGGAGUGUUACCCUUAAUUUAUUUUUAUUUUUCUCACCACUUGAUUUUUUAAAAAAUUUAAAAAAAAGUAUUAAAUGUCAAUUAUUAUUUAUCAAUGUAUUAGUUAAAAGAAAAAAAAAAAUUUUAUGCGAUCUUCACGACUUCACGAUUACAAGACAAAGAAAAAUGUCGCACAAUUCAUGUGUUUGCAUAUGCAUACACGGACUAACCGUGUAUGAUAAUUGUGCUUGUAAGACGAAGAUGACGACCAAUGGGAUAUAAUGGGAUUCUGUGACAUAACUUGGAGAUAUUAUCGUUUAGAGAUUACUUAUAUAGAAUAUAAAUACAUCUGUUUAUAAAAAAAAAAAUUACAAAUUUCAACUACCAAUUCAGGCAUCAAUCUCAUCACAAUUUUUUAUUCGGAUACCUACAUUGCAAGCAAUCCCGAAAUUUUCACUGUCCUGGACGUGCGAAAAUCGAUCGCUUUGGUGAAUUCUCAUUAACAAAAGAUCAUGAUCAUGAACCAAAUGCAAGAGAUGAAGGGGAAAGAGUUUUCCGUCACGAAUUAUUUAAUGCAGUAACAUCACAAUCGGACAGAAAUGACGAUAUUCAUGAGCGGAUUGGUGAAUUUCCCGCAUUUAUAUAGACCACGAGCGUACUGUAGGUGAUCAAUUAGAGAAAGUAGUCCAAUCAUCCAAUAUUUAUUCAAAAACGAAAUUGAAAGAAUUGAAAACCUAUUGGUCUGAUUUAGCUGAUGGAAAAAUCACAAUUUUAGAAUUUUUAAAAUUGAUGAGUAUAU